rnacentral:tRNA from 1 species
GCGGGUUUAGUUCAGUUGGCAGAACGACAGCCUUCCAAGCUGUAUGUCAUCGGUUCGAAUCCGAUAACCCGCU